CAGCACAAGGAGCAAUCUGAGGUGGCGACCGGCGCACGGGUGAGUAACGCGUAUGCAACCUACCUAUCAGAGGGGAAUAACCCGGCGAAAGUCGGACUAAUACCGCAUAAAACAGGGGCACCGCAUGGUGAUAUUUGUUAAAGAAAUUCGCUGAUAGAUGGGCAUGCGUUCCAUUAGGUAGUUGGUGAGGUAACGGCUCACCAAGCCGACGAUGGAUAGGGGAACUGAGAGGUUGGUCCCCCACACUGGUACUGAGACACGGACCAGACUCCUACGGGAGGCAGCAGUGAGGAAUAUUGGUCAAUGGGCGGGAGCCUGAACCAGCCAAGUCGCGUGGAAAAGGAAGAAGGAUCUAUGGUUCGUAAACUUCUUUUGCAGGGGAAUAAAGUGCAGGACGUGUCCUGUUUUGUAUGUACCCUGAGAAUAAGGAUCGGCUAACUCCGUGCCAGCCGCAGC
rnacentral:rRNA from 1 species